GUGCUCGCUUUGGCAGCACAUGUACUAAAAUUGGAACGAUACAGAGAAGAUUAGCAGGGCCCCUGCACAAGUAUGACAUGCAAAUUCAUGAAGUGUUCCAUAUUUUU
ensembl:snRNA U6 U6 spliceosomal RNA